CCUUAUUUAUCUCCUGCCUUCUAAAUCAAUUUCACCCGGUUAAUUUGACGCCAUAUCAUCUACCGCCAAAGAGACGCCACAGAUAUUUACAAUAACGAUUCACCUUCCGUCGUGUCGUAUCUCCGUUACCUCCGAAUUCUGGAAUCAAUCGCUUUUUCCUCUUCUCGGUGUAUCAUGUGACUUAUCCGUUCACCGCUGGAACAAUUCCGACCAUAUCCUCCACAUAAAAAAAAAACCCUAAUUGUCGAUUCCGGAUUUCUAUGCAAUAAAAACUCCGAUUAAAUUCUCCAUGGGGACUACCAUUUUUUUAAAGACGCCAUGUUCUUCCCCAACGCCUCGUUUUGGGCUCCCCUGUAUCCGCUAAGAAAGACAUAUAACCUCUACAUUAAUCUACCAAUUCACUAUUUGGAACCGCAAUUCUUCAUCUUGAUGUUGAUCGGUUGGAGUCAAAUUACCAGCCGUCUUUAGAGCCCUACUAUUCUGUCAUCAACAAUUGACGUUCGUCCAUUAAGAUGAAGAUUUGGCAUUGUUCGAAGACCAAUCGGAGCAUAGGUAUAUGAAAAUGAAUACAAGAAAUAACAAUGUAUUUUCAUUGUAUAUUCCCAUAUUGUCUUAUUGUAGUGCAUGCGAUGCUUUGAGAGUUGUGUUUCUGAUACACUACCUACAAGUGGGUGUUGUUUUGUAUUAAUUUCAAAGUGUUAAAUACAAAAAAUAAGAAUGUAUUUCCAUUUAACUGUCAUUUAUAUCAUCUUACUUUCAUUUUCCUCUAUUAAAGUAUUGUACUUUGAAAAAUUCUAUUCAAUUAUAACAUUAUACUUUCAUUCGUUCUUAGAGCAACCUCAUAAAAUACUCAUAUUAUCCUUCACGGGCCGUGCUUAGCACGGGCCAUAAAAUUUUUCUAAUAUAUAUAUCUGGUACUGUUUAGAAGAAGAAAACCUCCACGUAACCCAUUCUCCAAACGACGCAAUUUAAGUCGACUCAAAAUCAAUCGUUCUCAUCAUCGCAUCCAUUUGAACGCUCUUCCUUUUGCAAUUCGAUAUAUCCUUCCAUUCUCCAUCGUUUCAGCUACACAUAUCGUUUCCUCAAAGACCUGGAAAUCGAAUCAAAGAUGACCCUAAUUAUGCGAUUAACGAUAAAUUCAUCAUUUUGUUCACCGGAUUUGCAAAUCGGAAUCAAAGAAAUUUCGCAGGGUUCCCAUGACGACACGUAACCUAUCUUUUAAACGACGCCAUGGACAUCCAAAGUUGUUUCCCACUGCCUCAAUCGUGUUGUAUCGAUUUAUCAGGGAUGAUUUUUACUUUGAGCGCAAGCGUUGAGAUGGGUUUCGAACCGGUAGAACGCAAAGAAGAGACGCGCCUUUUUAUUUGAAACCGUGGUUUGGUUUCAGAUUCUUUCCAUUCUCCCCUAUAAAAGCAGACACAUCUCAACCUUGGGUAUAUUGGUUCCAUAUGCUCUUGUUUGUCACCAACGUUGUAUUCUCUCUUGGUGGCAUGUUCUAUCACUCCUGUUUGCAGAUUGAAGUUUUUGUUUGCCAAUGAUUCGUAAGUACGUAUCAAGAUUAGUUCCCCCUGUAUUCAAUUUCUCCAAGAAUUUAGAACUUGAACUUCUUGGCCUCCGGUAACUGUCAGGGGAUUUCUCAUCCUAUUCGUGGCUCUGCAAAAGGGUUUGUUGAUAAAUUCAACUUGAAUGGAUUACUUCUUUUUAAUUAUCUACUUUUUCAUCCAGUAGAUGAAGGCCGAAUCAUGAUGACAGGCCCCAUAAAACAUUCAAGAAUCAAAGGAAUAGAUUUUAUUCGUCUUCUUUGAAGUUUGACAAUCAUUUCUCUGAUUUCUCUCAUAACUAAACAACUAUGCAACUUGGGUAUAUUUGAUCACUAACAUCAAGAAUUUCUUUCAGAAACAUGUAUUUUAGGAUUUAGGGUUCUUAUUCAGAUUUUUGAUGUGUGUAAAUCUUUCUAAUUUGAA